UUGAACGCUGGCGGCAUGCCUUACACAUGCAAGUCGAACGGUAACGCGGGGCAACCUGGCGACGAGUGGCGAACGGGUGAGUAACAUAUCGGAACGUGCCCAGUAGUGGGGGAUAGCCCGGCGAAAGCCGGAUUAAUACCGCAUACGACCUACGGGUGAAAGGGGGGGAUCGCAAGGCCUCUCGCUAUUGGAGCGGCCGAUAUCAGAUUAGGUAGUUGGUGGGGUAAAGGCCCACCAAGCCGACGAUCUGUAGCUGGUCUGAGAGGACGACCAGCCACACUGGGACUGAGACACGGCCCAGACUCCUACGGGAGGCAGCAGUGGGGAAUUUUGGACAAUGGGCGAAAGCCUGAUCCAGCCAUGCCGCGUGCAGGAUGAAGGCCUUCGGGUUGUAAACUGCUUUUGUACGGAACGAAAAAGUCUUCUCUAAUACAGGGGGCGAAUGACGGUACCGUAAGAAUAAGCACCGGCUAACUACGU
rnacentral:rRNA from 1 species